rnacentral:rRNA from 1 species
CUCCUCUGACGUUAGCGGCGGACGGGUGAGUAACACGUGGAUAACCUACCUAUAAGACUGGGAUAACUUCGGGAAACCGGAGCUAAUACCGGAUAAUAUAUUGAACCGCAUGGUUCAAUAGUGAAAGACGGUUUUGCUGUCACUUAUAGAUGGAUCCGCGCCGCAUUAGCUAGUUGGUAAGGUAACGGCUUACCAAGGCAACGAUGCGUAGCCGACCUGAGAGGGUGAUCGGCCACACUGGAACUGAGACACGGUCCAGACUCCUACGGGAGGCAGCAGUAGGGAAUCUUCCGCAAUGGGCGAAAGCCUGACGGAGCAACGCCGCGUGAGUGAUGAAGGUCUUCGGAUCGUAAAACUCUGUUAUUAGGGAAGAACAAAUGUGUAAGUAACUAUGCACGUCUUGACGGUACCUAAUCAGAAAGCCACGGCUAACUACGUGCCAGCAGCCGCGGUAAUACGUGGGUGGCAAGCGUUAUCCGGAAUUAUUGGGCGUAAAGCGCGCGUAGGCGGUUUUUUAAGUCUGAUGUGAAAGCCCACGGCUCAACCGUGGAGGGUCAUUGGAAACUGGAAAACUUGAGUGCAGAAGAGGAAAGUGGAAUUCCAUGUGUAGCGGUGAAAUGCGCAGAGAUAUGGAGGAACACCAGUGGCGAAGGCGACUUUCUGGUCUGUAACUGACGCUGAUGUGCGAAAGCGUGGGGAUCAAACAGGAUUAGAUACCCUGGUAGUCCACGCCGUAAACGAUGAGUGCUAAGUGUUAGGGGGUUUCCGCC